rnacentral:rRNA from 1 species
UCAGUCGACUCCUACGGGGAGGCAGCAGUGGGGAAUAUUGCACAAUGGGGGAAACCCUGAUGCAGCCAUGCCGCGUGUGUGAAGAAGGCCUUCGGGUUGUAAAGCACUUUCAGUAGGGAGGAAGGUAGUGUAGUUAACACCUGCACUAUUUGACGUUACCUACAGAAGAAGCACCGGCUAACUCCGUGCCAGCAGCCGCGGUAAUACGGAGGGUGCGAGCGUUAAUCGGAAUUACUGGGCGUAAAGCGCAUGCAGGCGGCCUGUUAAGUCAGAUGUGAAAGCCCCGGGCUUAACCUCGGAAUUGCAUUUGAAACUGGCAGGCUAGAGUCUUGUAGAGGGGGGUAGGAAUUUCAGGUGUAGCGGUGAAAUGCGUAGAGAUCUGAAGGAAUACCAGUGGCGAAGGCGGCCCCCUGGACAAAGACUGACGCUCAGAUGCGAAAGCGUGGGGAGCAAACAGGAUUAGAUACCCUGGUAG